rnacentral:SRP_RNA from 1 species
GCCGGGCGUGGUGGUAUACGCCUGUAAUCCCAGCUACUUGGGAGGCUGAGGCAGGAGAAUUGCUUGAACCCAGGAGGUAGAGGUUGCAGUGAGCUGAAAUCACGCCACUGCACUCCAGCCUGGGCGAUAAAGCAAGACUCUGUCUCAA